UGAGGCCUACGGGGCGCAGCAGUGAGGAAUAUUGGUCAAUGGACGGAAGUCUGAACCAGCCAUGCCGCGUGCAGGAAGACGGCUCUAUGAGUUGUAAACUGCUUUUGUACAAGGGUAAACCUGAAUACGUGUAUUCAGCCGAAAGUACUGUACGAAUAAGGAUCGGCUAACUCCGUGCCAGCAGCCGCGGUAAUACGGAGGAUCCAAGCGUUAUCCGGAUUUAUUGGGUUUAAAGGGCGUGUAGCCGGGUUGACAAGUCAGAUGUGAAAUCCUGCGGCUUAACCGCAGAACUGCAUUUGAAACUG
rnacentral:rRNA from 1 species